CCGUAUAUCAGCGCGCGGUAACAAGUAAACAAUCGUCUGUCAAAAUGUUUUCGACCUGAUUCACGGUAAUUUACAAUCAUGCCACGCUGGAGGAAGCAAGGCUUCUGAAAGAAGUCAAAUCAAUAUAAAAGCAAUUCUCAGCUUCUCGCUAGUCGCUGGACCGACCGUAAGACCACAGAUGAUCACAAUUAUUGGGAGAAUUCUCCUGAUAUUCAACAGACCGACGAUGCUCAGACUACCGGUAUACAUAAUCACGAUGGCCUGAUGUAUGUGCCAGAACCGGCAGGCAGCGACGUUUCCGUCUCUUUCAAUGAUUUGGAAAAUUCUAGGUAUGACUCAUCAUGGAGAGAGGGAAGAAGGGUUGUUGAGUUAGGGGUGUUAGCAGAUGGCCUCUCCGGAUGUGAAAAAUGUGGCAUUCCACUCCAUUUUUCGCAUUCCAUAGGAGUACUGACAUGUGGAUUAUGUUCUUUUUUAAAAGUCCAAUGCAAAAACACCAUAUGUCAGUACUUAAAUACAAUACCAACUGGAAAACGCCAUGGAAAAAUUUGGGAUGCAAAUACUAAGCUUGCCACAGGAAUGAUGCAUUCAGGCAUAGGGCCUUCUCAGGUGAAUGCUCUUUUAUCAUCUCUGAAUAUACCUACAGUUAGUACCCGAACAUUGCAAAACAGGCAAAAUGAACUGGGAACAGUCAUGGAGAAAGUUGCAGAGGACACUAAAAGAAGCAGCCUUCAUGAGGAAAUUCAGGCAACUUUAGAGAGUGAGGGUACAGAUGAAUUGACAGUCAGUGUCGAUGCUGGUUGGCAAAAGCGGGGCAGUGGGCGAUCUUUUGACAGUCUCUCUGGCCAUUGCUCGAUGAUUGGAUCGCAUACAGGGAAAAUCAUUGAUUAUGAGGCAGCUCUAAAGCAAUGGAAAGAGAUAUGGUUGUCGAUAUGGUUACGAAGAUGGUGGACAAAGGGGUCAACAUUACCAAAGUUGUGGCAGAUGAGGACACAACUACUUUUUCCCAUCUAAGAACCAUUCAUAACAACAUUACGAAGAUAAGUGACAGGAAUCAUAUUAGGAAAACAUUUUCUUCAAAUCUGUAUGGUUUGCAACCAAAACACAAAUCUUUGAGUACCAAAGUAAUCCGGUACUUGGUGAAAUGCUUUAAUUACAUGUUGGCUCAAAACAGAGGAAAUCCAGAUGGCAUACAAAAGGGCUUGGAUGCACUUGGCAAGCAUCCGUUUGGUGAUCAUACCUCAUGCAGUGACUCUUGGUGUUCCCAUGUAAACAAUCCAAAACAAAAAUACACUGCCUUGUCUUAUGGGAAACCCAUGCGGGACAGUCAUCUCCAAGAAUCUCUGCAAACAGUUUGCUCUAAAUUUCUUAAGUACAGUAUUAAACUUUCAAAUUUAGGAAGCACACAGGCCAACGAGUCAUUCAAUAAAACUGUCUCCAUGAAAGCUCCAAAGAACCAUCAUUUUAGCAGUUCUGCAAGUCUCAAUUACAGAGUUGCCGCAAGCGUUGCAGAGAAAAACACAGGACAAACCUACGUAGUAGAGGUGAACAGAAGAGUGGGUCUUUCCCCAGGAAAGCACACAAAAAAGUUUUGCUAUCUUCGAGACUCACAGUCACGGAAAAGACAAGCUAUUGCACGAACAAAAAAAGCAAAGAGGAGAAGAAUAGAACUGAAAGCCAAGAAAUGCCAGACCACAUCAUGUAAAGAAAUAAGAGAGGGUCCGACUUAUAUGUCUGGAGUUGGAAUUGGUGAUCCAAACAGUGCGGUUAAAGAAAUACCACGACCAUCAUCUGUACCACAACUUCAGAGUUUGUCAUCAAUCAAAGACCAUAGUCUUGUCUUUUUUGACCUGGAAACAACAGGACUUGCAAGAACAUCACAUAUUCUGCAGGUGGCUGCCGUCUGUGGGGAUGAGUCAUUUUCCACCUAUGUCAUGCCAAAGGAGCAAAUUACCCCUUCUGCAUCAGAAGUUACAGGCCUAAAGCUUAAUAAUGGAGCCCUCUAUCACAAUGAGAGGAAAGUGAAUGCUAUUUCAAUAUCAAGUGCACUUGAAUCCUUUUUAAGCUUUAUUGAAAAGCAAGCCUGUGUUAUUUUAGUUGGCCAUAAUAUCAAAAGUUUUGAUGUCCAUGUUCUAUUUCAUGCUUUAGAUUCUUGCUCUUUGUUAGAUCGGAUGGCACAUUGCGUGCAAG
rnacentral:misc_RNA from 1 species